rnacentral:rRNA from 1 species
GACGAACGCUGGCGGCGUGCCUAACACAUGCAAGUCGAGCGGGGUCCAUCCGGUAGCAAUACCGGGGAAGACCUAGCGGCGAACGGGUGAGUAACACGUGAGAAACCUGCCCCGAAGUCUGGGAUAACCCGAGGAAACUCGAGCUAAUACCGGAUGUCUUCUUCUGAUCGCAUGGUCGGAUGAAGAAAGAUUUAUCGCUUCGGGAGGGUCUCGCGGCCUAUCAGCUAGUUGGCGGGGUAACGGCCCACCAAGGCGUCGACGGGUAGCUGGUCUGAGAGGACGAUCAGCCACACUGGGACUGAGACACGGCCCAGACUCCUACGGGAGGCAGCAGUGGGGAAUAUUGCGCAAUGGGCGAAAGCCUGACGCAGCAACGCCGCGUGCGGGAUGAAGGCCUCGGUUGU